ensembl:snoRNA
UCUGGCUGUGAUGACACACUUGCCCUCACUGACAUUAGUUUGAUUGAGACUCUUUAUUUUGCUGAGCCAUG